rnacentral:rRNA from 1 species
UUCCGGUUGAUCCCGCCGGACCUGACUGCUAUCGGAUUGAUACUAAGCCAUGCGAGUCAUUGUAGCAAUACAAGGCAGACGGCUCAGUAACGCGUAGUCAACCUACCCUAUGGACGGGAAUAACCUCGGGAAACUGAGUAUAAUGCCCGAUAGAACACUAUACCUGGAAUGGUUUGUGUUUCAAAUGAUUUAUUGCCGUAGGAUGGGACUGCGGCCUAUCAGUUUGUUGGUGAGGUAAUGGCCCACCAAGACUAUUACAGGUACGGGCUCUGAGAGGAGUGGCCCGGAGAUGGGUACUGAGACACGGACCCAGGCCCUAUGGGGCGCAGCAGGCGAGAAAACUUUGCAAUGUGCGAAAGCACGACAAGGUUAAUCCGAGUGGUUUCUGCUAAAGGAACCUUUUGACAGUCCUAGAAACACUGUUGAAUAAGGGGUGGGCAAGUUCUGGUGUCAGCCGCCGCGGUAAAACCAGCACCUCAAGUGGUCAGGAUGAUUAUUGGGCCUAAAGCAUCCGUAGCCGGCUCAGUAAGUUUUCGGUUAAAUCUGUACGCUCAACGUACAGGCUGCCGG